GAUGGUGCAGCACCACUGGACUGCUUUGCUUGCAGUGACAGGAAUGCAAACUGGUGAUGGAUUUUGAUCUGACUGCAUUACUUUUGCCACCUUCCUGGACUCCCCAAGCAUGACACUAGCACAAGGAUUUUGACUAUAACAAAGGGGGUGAGUUCACCAAGUAUUGCUUCACAAGAAAGAAAAGCAAAAUAAAAUAAAAUUAAAUAA